GAAAACGUAGCAUGCCCAGCCAAGGCGACUGCUGGCCCUUCACGAUGCAGCUGGCCAAAAGAAGAGAUUCUGAUUCAUUUCCUUCAUCGUUGGAGUUUUGCCUUAACUCCCAUGUUUUUCCAGUGGAUGCAUAUGAAUCUACAGAAUAGCUAGAAAUCUUUUCAUCAACAAUUUACUUUCAACAAAUCAUCAGACACAAACCGCAAAAACACCAAAGAAGCAGUGAAUGAUGAUUUUAAUCAGUGAUCCAAGCCUUAGAAAGGU